GCACACUUCGGUCUCCUCCGCCCCCCCUCCUUUGCUUUUUCCUGUCUUUUUAAUUCUCAAUCUGCUUAACCAGGCUUUAGAGGCCAAGCAAAUCUGAGAUCAAUUUUCUCGUUUAGCUCUAAAUGACAUCAUCUAAAAUCAUUGUGCAAGGGCUAAAUAAGGAAACAGACUCUAAUUCAGGGGCAAACGCCAGGCUAUAUUUAUCAAACGCCAGGCUCUAGAAAGCCACGGCCAGGAAGCCUCCGGCAGCGAAAUCCUAGCCCUCCCCGCUUGGUUUCUCCGGGCCGGUGCCGGACCCGGGUGGGAGCCGCGCCUCCUCACCGCAGUCUCUCUCUUCCUUCGGGGCCCGGGACCGAGGGCUCCCGGAAUCCCGAAGUCUCCGCGGCCCGAACCGACUCUGGACCAUUUGGAAGACGCCAGCAGGCCGGUGAGGUGUUUUCCCUCCAGACUACCAGGCUGCAAUUCAGGGUUGGACUUGAUGGAAAAUGAAGUUUAUAAACAAGCAACCCAAUUUCUCCAACAUAUUCGAGGAGCUGCCUAGAAGUUAAGCAACAAAAAAACCAGCAAAGUUUUGCUGGUAAUUUACAGCGAUGUUACUGAAACCCAGCAAGUGAACGAUGAGAAGAAGGAUACCUCAAGUAGGCUCUCUUGUCCUACACGGAUAGCGCGGUUAUGCAAUUGGCCGCCUGGCGUUUUGCCGCAGUCGGGAUAUAUUUUUCAAGGUGCUUGUUUGGUCAAAAUAAAAACUGUAUUUAACACACAACGCGACCUUUCUUUGAUAUUACGCACGAGG
rnacentral:lncRNA from 1 species